AUGUCGGGAAGCUACUCCUCGCGUCUCCGCGCCGGGGGCGGCGGCGGGGGCCUGGGCGCGACGACCGUGCUGGCGGCCAAGGUGGCGUUCGCGUCGGCCGCGCUGGCCGCGGCCGCCUGCAUGGUGCCGCAGCUCGUGUCCGGCGCCGACGCCUUCCUCUGGAAGCUCUACCUCUUCGUCACCGUGCACGUCAUCAUCUUCGUCAUCUGGAAGCUCUCCGACAGCAAGCACUUCCACGCCGCCCAGCAGCAGCACAAGGACCCCUGGGCCCCGUCGCCGCUCCACCACCCCGCCGCCGCGGCGCCCCCGCUCAUGACGGAGCAGGCUGUGCUGACCGCCGUCAGGCGCAAGGUGGAGUUCGCGCCCGCGCCCGCCGUCGUCUCCGCCGCGCCCGCCGAGGUGUACCGCGUGCCCCCGCCCGUGUCGCCGUGGCACGAGGCUGCCGACUCGGCGGUGGUUGAGGAGGUCGUGUCCCCUGUCUCGUGCGGCGGGGAGUCGUGCGUCACCACGGAGUCUGAGGAGGACGCCUCCUCCGCCGCCGCGUCGGCCUACAUCGCCACCGCCGACGCGAGCAGGAGCGUCUCGCCCGCACGGGAGCGCGCGGUCCUCGAGCGCGGCAUCUCCCUUCCCCCUCGCAAGGCCACCGCGCCCACGGACCAACACUUCGACGGAGCCGAUAACAACCACGACGGCGGCGGCGGCGACGACGACGACCUGGACGCGACGUGGAACGCCAUCAUGCAGAAGACGCGUCCGGCGACGGCGCCGGCCGCAUCCACCACCUCCCCUCCAGCCCCGCGCUCGUCGCCUCCCCGGCCAUCCCCAUCGCCGCGGCCGCGAGCCCGGGAGCCGUCCGUCGGCGCGGCGGAGCUGAGCAAGCGGUCAGAGGAUUUCAUCAAGAAGAUCCACAACUCCUUCGGCCGGCACCAAUGA
rnacentral:rRNA from 1 species